UGGGGAAUCUUGCACAAUGGGGGAAACCCUGAUGCAGCGACGCCGCGUGAACGAUGAAGCCCUUCGGGGUGUAAAGUUCUUUCGACAGGAACGAUAAUGACGGUACCUGGAGAAGAAGCUGCGGCUAACUACGUGCCAGCAGCCGCGGUAAUACGUAGGCAGCGAGCGUUGUUCGGAGUUACUGGGCGUAAAGAGUGCGUAGGCGGCGAGCCAAGUUUGGUGUGAAAUCUCCCGGCUUAACCGGGAGGGUGCGCCGAAAACUGGUUGGCUGGAGUAUGGGAGAGGAAAGCGGAAUUCCUGGUGUAGCGGUGAAAUGCGUAGAUAUCAGGAGGAACACCUGCGGUGUAAACAGCUUUCUGGACCAAAACUGACGCUGAGGCACGAAAGCGUGGGUAGCAAACA
rnacentral:rRNA from 1 species